AUUUCUUUCUCUGCCAAUACUGCCUUGUGCUGACCUUGGCUGAAUCACUCAUCCCAUUGGAGUUUCAUUAUCCGUCUUCUCUACCCAUCUGUGAACUCCCAGUGGAAGGGAGUUUUCUUAUUUAUCUGUGUACUUCCAGGGUUUAAUCCUAUGCCAGGUAUAGAUGACUCAAAAAGUGAUGAUUGAAUGGAGGACCAGGGAACAGAGUUUAAUUUUGACAAUGAUGAAACUCAACUUAAUGGCCUGGGCUACAAGAGAAGAGAUGGUGUGGCAGAUUGUAUGUUACAAAGAUUGCCUCAAUAAUAUCUCCUAUUCCACAUGCUCAUUCUUCAGUGUGACCUUGCCACUUCUUCCAUAGCAUGGUGAGGUAGAUGUCCCUUCCCCUUCCUUGACCACUAGCAUGUGGUAGAAUUGUUGCUAUGUGAGUUCUGAGGUUGCAUUAUAAAAAUGUCAUGUACUUCUCUGCCUUGCUUUCUUCAGACACUCUUUCUUGGAACCAAGUCACCAUGCUGUGACUAGGUCCAACCAGCCUAUGGAGAGGUACCUGUGGGGAGGAUCUGAGGUUGUGGUCUACAUCCUCAGCUGAGCUCCCAGCUGACAGUCAGCAUCAACUUACCAGCCAUCUUGAAAAUGGAUUCUCCUGUCCCCAGCCAGACUACUCCAGUUGAUGCCAUGUGGAACAGAGAUGAGCCAUCCCAUCAUGCCCUGCCCAAUUUGUAGAUUCAUGAGUUAAGUCAAUGACUAUUGUCGUCUUAAGCCACUAUGUUUUGGGGUGUGUUAUGUAGGAAUAGAUAACUAAAACAGAUGGGCAAAUAAAAUCUUUAUGUG
rnacentral:lncRNA from 1 species